UACAGAGGGUGCAAGCGUUAAUCGGAAUUACUGGGCGUAAAGCGUGCGUAGACGGUUACAUAAGUCGGGUGUGAAAGCCCCGGGCUCAACCUGGGAAUUGCAUUCGAGACUGCGUAGCUAGGGUGCGGAAGAGGGAAGCGGAAUUUCCGGUGUAGCGGUGAAAUGCGUAGAUAUCGGAAGGAACACCAGUGGCGAAAGCGGCUUCCUGGUCCAGCACCGACGUUUUAGGCACGAAAGCGUGGGGAGCAAACAGG
rnacentral:rRNA from 1 species